rnacentral:lncRNA from 1 species
CACCUCCAAAUAUGGUACUAAGACCACUCUUUAAUACUGAAACCACUUUAAUAUGGCACUGUUACCACUCUAUAUGGUGCUGAGACCACUCAAAUAUGGUGUUACCACCAUUCUAAUUAUUAACUUCUCCAACUAUGAUACUAUGAUCACUCAAAUAUGGUUUUACACCAUUCUAACGUCUAACUUCUUCAAGAAUCGAAGAAGAAUAUAUUUUAAGAUCAUUCAUAUUUUUGAAGGGGCAUUGUACCGAAAAAGGGACUAUGAUCUUAAAUUAUUAUUUAUUCCGAAGGACAUAAAAAUAUCGAAGGGACUAUGAACUUAAGACCAUUCUUAAUUCCGAAGGGACAUUUAAACCGAAUAGGGACUAUGGUCUUAAGAACACUCUUAAUUCCGAA